GGAACCCUGUGAUACCACUCUCGCAUUCUUUGCUUGCUGACAAGUGCACAACAUUCUCUCUCUCUCUCUCUCUCUCUCUCUCUCUCUCUCUCUCUCUCUCUCUCUCUCUCUCGCUCACUCUUUUUCUCUCCCCUUCUUGCACAUGCACACCGGCUCACAGAGGCACACAGAACACAACAAAUAUGUCAGAUUCUGAGAAAUUAGCUGUUGCUCAAGCUGAGGCUCCUGUACCUGCUCCCUGUCAAGCCAUCAAAGCGGACCUAGACAAAUGUGUGAAAGAGAAGGGAGUUGACGGAUGCAAAGAACUGAUGGAAGCUUUCCAGGCUUGUCUGAAGACUGCCGCUGAAAAGUCAUGAGGAGGACAGCCCAACACCUGACAAAUGUCCACUGCACUGAGUCCUCUGCUUUCCCAGCAUUCCCUCCUGAACAUUACACUGGACUAAAUCAUCUUUGGGAUUGGGAGAUGGGACAAAGGGUAACUGUGGGAAAUGCCCCAAUGAACCUGAAAUGCAGUCUUCCUUUUCUUUUGUAGCUGAUUACUCUGGUUGUUAUGCCCUGCCAGAAAACCCCAUAGAUUUUAAAUGUAAAUUGUCUCGCGACACAUACAUAUUACAAUCAAAAUAAACUUGUAAAAAUUGUAAAAAAAAAAAUUCUGGCAUUGCGGUUACAGUGAAAACCAAUUCUGAGAACCACUGUUGUAGAAUACUUUCACAUAGAGGAGAAUUAAUAGUAGUCUCAAUGAUUGUGAGGCAUCCUGUUUGGCAUGUCAGUUUGGCAAAACAAAGGAAAUAUUACUCACAUUGCAUACCAACGGCCUGACACUAUUGCAGGCAGCUGGAAUCUACUUUCUCGAAAAUCAUUCUUGUCAGUCAUCCUUUCCGUAGAGGGGAAAGUCCAGUGAAGUCCCCAGCAAAAGCCCCUCAACGCCCCCCCCCCCCCCCCCACUUUCCCCCAUGCUGUCAUUCUUCAUAGUCUGUCUUCAAUGGCAGUAGGCUUUCAAUAUCAUUUCAAAGCAUGAAUUCAGCUGAUGAAGAAUGAGCAAUGAACCAUGAAGUCAUUACACCUGACAGUGUAUAUGUACUUGGCAGUUUGUAAUGGCGGCUUUCCAUACAACGACUACCUGGAUGAAGUGCACAGGCACACAUCACCAAUGGAGCGCCUUUUUAAACCACCAGCCAGACUUCUCAGUGCUGCUGCUUGCCUGCGCUGCUUUGCAUGUUCAUUGCUGCUGCUCAGAAUUGCGCUCACCCUCCACCACCCCAGCACCACCUGUUGUUUGGAUCUGCCUCUAGAUGCUGGGGGGUUUUCUGAGAAACCAUCUACCAUCUGAUUACCUAUUCAAGAUACCUCAGUUAGAUUCCACUUGUAAUGAGAAAAGGGACAAUUAUCUGCAAGUCAAAUGGACUCUAGGAUGCAUCAUUCAGAGGGAUAAAGAUAAAAACAACUCAUUAUUUCGCAAUAUCGCUCUGUUAUUUGAAAAAUUGAAUCAUUGCCAGGACAUUUCAAAGAAAAGCUGUCAUCUAGGUGACCAUCUCCACUAUGUCAAUGUAACACAGUUCCAAGAGAAGUAUAGUGAGGCUUACGAACACCAGCAUGAAAAUGAUUACAUAUCAUGUAGCUGUCCAAGUACAAGCACAGCUGUCACAACAAAAGAAAUACUGGUGACAGGCUUUGAACCAUCUACGACUUCUGUUCAAGUAAAAACACAGAGAAAAAGUGGAUCAACAAGUAACCGAUUUCAGUCAUCUGCUACAACAGAUAUCCCAGCAACAAGGUCUAGAGACAUAACAGAAACAGUGGCAGUAACAAGAAAUAUAACAAACCUGGACAGUGGACUACUUUUGACGUCCCCAUUGCCAUUUAUUUUCAUGGGACAUAAGGCAUCAGAAAAGGCAGUGUUUUCAACAAUUGUGUUUAUGGCAAUUGUUAUUAUGUGCCUCACCUUUGCUGCUCUUUGCCUGUGGCUUAAGAACAGACGACUAAGGAAUACACAGUUACAGCAAAAUAUUGCUUUGGAACAGUGGACUAUUGAGGAAAACCAAACACAGCUUCUAUAGGUCAUUCACCUGAAGAAAAUCUCGGUGGUUCCCAAUGAUUCACACAGCUGCUAUACCAAGUUUAUCUGUGGUAAUAUGUGCAUAAUAUACAGUAUAUUGUAUAUUAUGCACAUAUUACAUAAUACUGACUGAUAUUGCAUGGUACUACAGAAUAAAUAAAGAAAAUCAUUUUUGGGUGGUUCUCUCAAUGGAUAACAGCCCACGAAGAGUAGAAAUUGCAAAGUUGUGCAAUGAAAACAAGCCAAGCUGGGCAGAGUACAAAAGAAAAUGCCAAGGUGACAGUGGGGGAAGCAUCCUGAGCCAGAGUGGAAAGGACUUUUUUAAACUGUGAGAAACCCACUGGCUGGUGUGGAAGUUGUCAGCCUGUGCAACUGAUAAGGAAAGUCCUCAGAACUGCUAGAUAUCAAAGGCUGAUACUGGACCAAAAUAAUCAGUGGCAUUCAGGUACCAGCAACUGCUAAGCGUUAUAAAAGGGUUGGCCAGGACUGUUGCAACAGUGGCCAGGACUGUUAUUUAAGAAUUAAAAAAUUCAAACAAAAACAGAAGCAACUGCCUUGCGAAUGAAAGAAAGCAAACCUCUGUGAGGAACAGCUCUCUGACAGGACACAAAAUCCACGUGUAGCUUUGGACACAUACCAUAUACUCUUCUCUGUGGAAAAGUGUGAUUGAUCUGUAGUGUUUAAUUUCACUAAUGGGGUUAAGAUUGUAAUUUUUCAACUUUACUAUUCCAUUCAUAUAUAUUACAUUGCCUUGUUGCCUUGAUUUGUUUUGUGUAAAAAGUGAAUACUUCAUACUUAUGUAACUGUAUCAUGAUUUUUCUUUUUCAUGUCAUUAUUUAUUUGUCUUCCAGACAAGAAACAUGAAUUCCAUUUUUGAAACUAGACUGGUUGCAAAUGCAUGAGCAGACAGUGAGCAUCCAUCCAACUGUCUACUAAUGCUUCACCCAGGCUCGGAUUGCACUCAUAUUGUGACAUAGGCAUGGACAAUUUUGUGAACCACCAAAGAAAAGGAGGCAAAGAAGCGGAACUAUUGAUAUUAUCUGAACCAGAUGCUAUAAUUUAUUUUUUAUUACAUACAAUAAUUUUAUUGCCUAGAUAUGACAUUGUUACAUCUCUGCAGUACCAUAUUUUCAGUGUGCUCCAUAAAGUUUGCAAGAAAUACUUUUUUUGGCUUUGGAUUAGGCUUUUAUUAAGGGUAUUUUUAUACAUUUAGGUUCACCAUGUAGAAAUAACAGCAUUUUUUGCACAUAGUCCUCCAUUUCAUGGCUUCAGUACAGGCCUGGCAGAGCAUCGCCAGAGAAGAUACUCAGCACCUGGUGAUGUCCAUGGGUCACAAACUUCAAGCAGUCAUUGUAUGCAAAGGAUAUGCGACAAAGUACUAAACAUGACUACUUUCAUUUACAUGACAUUAAUAUGUUCCAAACAUCAUGAUGCUCUGAGGGGGAAGGGCUAUGUAUAAAAUGUGCUGCCCCAAUUCAGAGCACAAAUAAUUUUAAAUUUAUCAUUUUAGAUUUAGAUUAUGGAGUACAGAGCUCACUGUGUUUGUGUGUGUGUGUGUGUGUGUGUGUGUAUCAGGUGUAUAUCUCAUCAGGUGCUUUUUUGGGCCCUUCUUUGACAUGACCACAUAGGCAUCUGCCUGUGUGGCUUAUGCUAUAAUCCAGGCUUCACCUUCUCAUACCUCGUUCUUUCUCUGGCACACGCAGAAUGGACGGGCACUGUAAUGUUCUGUGAGCUGCUCCACCAAGAAAAAGUAAAAAAACAAAACAAAAAAAAUCAAUAAUGGAGAAACCUGCUGCCACAGAGGAACAUCAGAUCGAUAGACCAGAAACCAACCAUAUGCGAUACUCACUUCUGUAUAGAAACAAAGCGCCAUUCUCAACUCAAGCUAUAAAAAUAAUCUUUUGUGCAUUUAACUUGAAAACAGGACAUUCGCCCUGCACACUCCUCCGAACAAAAGACAACGACACCAUGGAACCUGUUUCCUCUGGAAACUACUGGUAGCAAAUGAACAAAUUCAAAAAAUGUAAUCCUGCAUGUCUGGUCUGUUGUUUCAACAAGGGUUGAAAUAUGUUUGGAUUUCAGCUGAUGUACAGUAAUGCAUAUUAUAAACUUCAUUAUGAUUAAUGGAUGCUAAUUCCAUAGGAUGCACUGACAGAAUUACUUUUUGAACUGGUUGCAGGCUUUGGGUGGCAGUGUAGCAUAAUGGGUCAGGACUUGGUCUUGUAACCUAAAGGUAAUGCUGUAAGGUAAUGUAAUGGAAAGGGCUGGCCAGGUAAUGUCAAUGUGGAUAUGUUAUAUUAAUGUGGCCACUCAGUCCAUCCAAAUGAUGUAAAGGUCUGUGGAUUGAUAAAGCGGGCAUUUUUGCUUCAUAUAGACUAGUAUCAUUGUGUUUGACUGUUUAUAUUUCUAUUUUUAGUUUUGUAAGCUUAGUGUGAUUGGCAGUUAUAGCUGCUAAUUAGCUAUUGUAUUACAUCAUUUCAAAAUUAAGAUAUUGCAUAAUAUGUGUUCUAGCAGUAAUCAUACAAUUAACACACACACACACACACACACACACACACAUAUAUAUAUAUAUAUAUAUACACACACACAAACAUACACACACAGGGUUAUGGGAUGCAGUUUGUAAAAUGUUGCACAAAAUGUGUAACCCUGCUCAAUUGUCCCACAUUUUGCAUUGCAUUGUAAAAACAAUGCACUGCAAUUUUCGAAUGUUACCUUUAAACAUUUGGAGAGACAUUCAUCUAAAACAUUGUCAUCGGUUUUCUAGGAGGAAUGUUAUGCAUUGAAGCAAGAUUUAAAAAUUACAUGUUGUAUAUAAAUAUCAGUGUAAACAUUCAAUAUGUAAAUGUUAAAGGAGUACCAUGGUGAUUUUCACACUUUCUCGGUUUUAUGUGCUAUUUGCACAAGAGGCAUUGAAGAAACACAAUGAGUAAAGUAUUAAAUAUGUCCGUUCUGUAUUUUUGGAGAAAUAUGCGUUUUAAAUAAAAAAAAUAUUUUCAACCGGUUGAGAAAGUUGUCAACUUGGUGCGUCACGAAUACAGUAACCACUCCCCUUUCCACGCCCCGUAAACCCAUGGAUAACUCGAGACCCAUAGUUUGCGCCGCUGGCUUACAGGCAAGACAAUGCAAAUAUUUGACUAACGUUAGGUUCACUUAAAUUAGAGUGCCUUUUAAGGACUAUUAGAUUAUUUCUGGUUAUAUUCAUUUGGCUAGCUAGCUAACGUUAGCUAGCCAGGUAGUUUGCUUUCAUAAGGCAAUGUUAUCGAUAACGUUAGCUAGCUAGUUUGCUUUUGUGAGGACGUUAUAGUUGUGCUUUUAUCUUAACUUGGCUAGCUAGAUAGCAAAAAUUAUAAUUGGAUAUAAGUCAACGUCCUUACCUUAGCUAUCUAUCGAUACUUGAUAUACUACUAAGCUAGCUAGCUUGUGAAAAUUCAGUCUCCCAAGAAGAGCUCCCAAGAACUAUCAUGGUUGUAGCUAUGGUAACGGGGCACGGUCUGUCAAUCAUAGCUAACUGACAGUUCUCAUUACCACGCCCAGACGGUUCGGGUGAACUUUUAUAGUGGGAAAUUUAGGCUUAGAAAAAUAUGUUUUAAAGUACAUUGAAAUGACUGAAUAAUAAAAAAAUAAUGCACAUUUGUUUUGUUGUUACCUAAAGACAACUGGGAAGUGUCACGUUCAACCACCAUGUUACUCCUUUAAAUGUAGAAACUAAAUGUUUUGAACAUAAUGCAAAUUGGUGACAGCUCUUAUGUGUAACAUCAGUUUUUUGUAUGGUGGAGAGCAGUCUUGAUUGCACUCACACAAACACCUUAGCAUCAGCAGAAUCAGCCAUCACAAAAGGGCUAGUCCAAGCAAAUUAUAUGAAGUUUAGACUAUAUGUUGCUGAGGUAAGAGCUGCAACCUAGUGUAAAAUAAAGUGAACUUUAAGAUCA